GAUGAACGCUGGCGGCGUGCCUAAUACAUGCAAGUCGAGCGGACAGACGAGGCGCUUGCUGCUCUGACGUUAGCCGCGCAGGGGUGAGUAACACGUGGAUCACCUCCCUAUCAGUCUGGGAAAACUUCGGGAAACCGGCGCUUAUCCCAGAUAAUAUAUUGAACCGCAUGGUUCAAUGGUGAGAGACGGUUUUGCUGGCUCUUCUCGCUGCAUACGGGCUGCAUUAGCUAGUUGGUAAGGUAACGGCUUAACACGGGAACGAUGCGUAGCCGAGGGGUGAGAGUGAUCGGCGACACGGGAGCUGGAACACGGUCAAGACGCCUACGGGAGGCAGCAGUAGGGAACCUGCGGCAGUGGGCGAAAGCUUGACGGAGUAACGCCGCGUGAGUGAUGAAGGUCUUCCGAGCGUGAAACUGUGUUAUGAGGGAAGAACAAAUGUGGAAGUAACUAUGCAGGGCGUGACGGUAAUUAGUCAGAAAGCCCCGGCUAACUACGUG
rnacentral:rRNA from 1 species